rnacentral:rRNA from 1 species
UACGUAGGGUGCGAGCGUUGUCCGGAAUUAUUGGGCGUAAAGAGCUUGUAGGCGGUUUGUCGCGUCUGCUGUGAAAUCUCAAGGCUCAACCUUGAGCUUGCAGUGGGUACGGGCAGACUAGAGUGUGGUAGGGGAGACUGGAAUUCCUGGUGUAGCGGUGAAAUGCGCAGAUAUCAGGAGGAACACCGGUGGCGAAGGCGGUUCUCUGGGCCUGUACUGACGCUGAGGAACGAAAGCGUGGGGAGCGAACAGG